UAAAGUAGCCAUAUCACCCUGUAGCCCAAGACUGGUUGCCCACUGAAGCUAAGCAGGGCUGAGCCUGGUCAGUACCUGGAUGGGAGACCUCCUGGGAAAACUAGGUUGCUGCUGGAA
rnacentral:rRNA from 1 species